rnacentral:rRNA from 1 species
GUCUACGGCCAUACCACCCUGAACAUGCCCGAUCUUGUGUGAUCUUGGAAGCUAAGCAGGGUCGGGCCUGGUUAGUACUUGGAUGGGAGACCACCUUGGAAUACCGGGUGCUGUAGGCU